AUGAACGCUGGCGGCGUGCUUAACACAUGCAAGUCGAGCGGAAAUAUUUUAAAUGAAGGCUUCGGUUGGAAUUUAUAAUAUUUUAGCGGCGGACGGGUGAGUAACGUGUGGGUAACCUGCCAUAUACUGGGGAAUAAUCAUUUGAAAAGAUGACUAAUACCGCAUGUCGUCACCGAGGGGCAUCCCUUGGUGAAAAAAGGAGUAAUCCGGUAUAUGAUGGACCCGCAUCUGAUUAGCUAGUUGGUGAGAUAAUAGCUCACCAAGGCGACGAUCAGUAGCCGACCUGAGAGGGUGAUCGGCCACAUUGGGACUGAGACACGGCCCAAACUCCUACGGGAGGCAGCAGUGGGGAAUAUUGCACAAUGGGCGAAAGCCUGAUGCAGCAACGCCGCGUGAAGGAAGAAGGGUUUCGGCUCGUAAACUUCUAUCAAUGGGGAAGAAACAAAUGACGGUACCCAAAUAAGAAGCCCCGGCUAACUACGUGCCAGCAGCCGCGGUAAUACGUAGGGGGCAAGCGUUAUCCGGAAUUACUGGGUGUAAAGGGAGCGUAGGCGGCAUGGUAAGCCAGAUGUGAAAGCCCGAAGCUUAAUUCGAGGAUUGCAUUUGGAACUAUCAAGCUAGAGUACAGGAGAGGUAAGUGGAAUUCCUAGUGUAGCGGUGAAAUGCGUAGAUAUUAGGAAGAACACCAGUGGCGAAGGCGACUUACUGGACUGAAACUGACGCUGAGGCUCGAAAGCGUGGGGAGCGAACAGGAUUAGAUACCCUGGUAGUCCACGCCGUAAACGAUGAGUGCUAGGUGUCGGAGGGGAACCUUCGGUGCCGCAGCUAACGCAAUAAGCACUCCACCUGGGGGAGUACGAUCGCAAGAUUG
rnacentral:rRNA from 1 species